UGCAGGGUAUAGACCCGAAACCCGGUGAUCUAGCCAUGGGCAGGUUGAAGGUUGGGUAACACUAACUGGAGGACCGAACCGACUAAUGUUGAAAAAUUAGCGGAUGACCUGUGGCUGGGGGUGAAAGGCCAAUCAAACCGGGAGAUAGCUGGUUCUCCCCGAAAGCUAUUUAGGUAGCGCCUCGUGAAUUCAUCUCCGGGGGUAGAGCACUGUUUCGGCUAGGGGGCCAUCCCGGCUUACCAACCCGAUGCAAACUGCGAAUACCGGAGAAUGUUAUCACGGGAGACACACGGCGGGUGCUAACGUCCGUCGUGAAGAGGGAAACAACCCAGACCGCCAGCUAAGGUCCCAAAGUCAUGGUUAAGUGGGAAACGAUGUGGGAAGGCCCAGACAGCCAGGAUGUUGGCUUAGAAGCAGCCAUCAUUUAAAGAAAGCGUAAUAGCUCACUGGUCGAGUCGGCCUGCGCGGAAGAUGUAACGGGGCUAAACCAUGCACCGAAGCUGCGGCAGCGA
rnacentral:rRNA from 1 species